rnacentral:lncRNA from 1 species
UUCCAAGUAAGUGUUCUUUCUAUUUGGCUAAAAAUAUUAACUUUCCCCGAUUUUUUUCUUCUUGGGAUUCGGGUUGUUUCUGCUCUUUGUUUUUAUUUCGAUUUUCUUGAUUUGGCGACUCUUUUGAUGCUCUUUGUGGUUUCUUGCUGGUUGUCAUGACUGGACCUUUGUUUGGUUUUUUAACAUAGGUGUGGAAACUUGAUGAAGAUAGAGUGCCAUUGGUGGUUGGUGUUUGAGUGGCCUCUCUGUUUUAUAAUCAUGCAAGUUAUAACUCAUGUUGAAAAUUAUAAAA